AUUAUAUUUUAACUGAUCUAAUGUGUUAUAUUCUCCUACAUUAAUUUCACAUUUCCACAAACUUCAAAGUGUUUCCUAUCAAAUGGUAUCGAGAACAUGCCUGUCCUUACUUCAGGUCCUUACUUCCGGUCCAGGUGUAUUAAUAUAUUAUGCGUGUAUUCACGUUUGGAACGGCACAUUUCAAACCAAUUUAAAAGGUUCUACUUAACAUGGUUCGAGCACUAAGGCGGACGGAGAGAUCUGUGGCUAAAUCGAGUUCGCCUACUGUGCUAGCCAAUCGGAUAGCUCAAGUCACCGUUCCUACAGUUUCCAAUACCUCCGCCACAGAAAAGUUUGAUACUAGACCAGGUGAGAUUUCACAACUUUUAAAACCAUGACCAGAGAGACUGUCAAAGAAUUACAGCCAAGAGCUGUUGUUUUUACGAGUGAGUUAAUUUCUUAAUUUUUUAUUCUACACUUUAACUGUUUUUAUUGAACACUUACAAAACACAAAAUGCCCUAUUAGAUAGUCCUUCGUUUUUAUUAUUAUUAGAAUCUCAUCCUGUGUGGCUCAGUUGGUAGAGUAUGGCGCUUGCAACGCCAGGGUUCGAUUUCCACAGGGGACCAAUAUGUAAGUCGAUUAAUAUAUAAGUGUCUGCUAAAUGAAUAAAAUGAAUGUCUAAAUUUAAUAUUGAGGAAUAUUUCACUAUCUUAUCUUAGGUCAUAAGAACAACAUGAAUUUGUGCAGUGCAACUCAAGUUUUGGCAUCAGUGUCACUGGAUGAAAGGAAUGAUAGAGCAGGGACAGUGAGAGAUGGACCCUCUACUGCUCUCUCCAUUUAGACUUUCGACUUCAGUGCGUUCAAGACAACUGGGAACUCUGGGGAAGAAAACCAGAUCCAACCGAGAAAUUGUUUUAAAUGGUUAUCCAACACGGAAUUCGAAGGUGGAAACUCUGGCCUCUUUCUAGAGCUCAGACUUAAAAAAUUACUGACAUCAUGAUUUGGCAGCAUUUAUUUAACUGGGAUUCCCAGUUGUCUUGAAAACACCAUGACCAUCAGAUGCAUCAGUCCAGUUAAAUAAAAAAGCAACUUAUUUCAAUUUAUGCUCAGCUGUGCCUUGCAAGUGCUCCACCAACUGAUCUAUUUUGCUGGAGUCAAAGCUUGAGUUUUGAAAUCUAAUAUGGUUUGAGAACAAUAUUGGCGUUAUAGGCAUAUAGCCAAUAUGCUGUGGAAAUGUAGGCUAUUAGGCCUACUGCACAAACCUUAUUUCUACAACUGUUUUAUUCAUUUAAUCUUUUUUUAAAAUCUGAACAGCAGAUCUCAGCUUGCUUUUUGACUGCGAAAGGGAUCUUGACUCAAAAGGUUGGUGACCACUGCUUUAGACCAAUUUCAAGUUUCCAUUCAAUCUCCUCUCAAUUUACAAUCUUUUCAAAAGAGGUCCUCACAGUAUAUGAAGGACAAGUUUGAGUCCCAUGAUGCCAAAAUCUCGGUGAGUCUAUUUGCAUAGUUAAACUUCUUUGCUGAAAUCUUUGAGCCCUACUCAGUGAGUCUCAUUGUUGUUUCUCUUUGCCACUAUAGAAACUCAUGGCAUGUGGUGUUCAGAUGGACAGUGACCAGGAAGAUGGUGUUGAAGAGGAAGAAGAUGUUUUCUGAUUAUGUGGGAAAGGGAAAAUCUCAGCAAGAAGUGGAGGCAGAGGAUGAAGAAGCUAAGAAUAUUCAGAGACAAUUGGCUGUCUAUCUUAGGAGGACUAUGAUCUAAACCUUCUUCAGAGUUUGCUGUAGAGAAUGGUGUGGAGAGGGAGAAGAUUGUUAAGGACCUGAAGCAGAUGUCCCAGAAGGAGAGAAUUAGCUGCUGGGGAAGGAAUCACCAGAGCUCAUUCAGGAUUUGAAGUCCAAGGUAUGAUAAACACAACAUCACUACUACUGUAUGUGCGGCAGAAAAAGAAUGGGAAUGGGACCUGCCUGGUGUGUUACUUGUUCUUCAUGAAGCUCUCUGCGCAUUUAACGGACCUCUGGGACUAUCACAGUGCAGGUGCAUUUAUACGGAGACUUGAUUACACACAGGUGGAUUGUAUUUAUCAUCAUUAGUCAUUUAGGUCAACAUUGGAUCAUUCAGAGAUCCUCACUGAACUUCUGGAGAGAG